rnacentral:rRNA from 1 species
UGUGUGAUGCUAAGCAUGUGAGCUUGUCUUGGGAGUGUUUUUGAUGCUUCUGGGGUGGGUGAGUGUGUGAACCGAUCAUGUAGUAGGCAAGCUGCGGAGGGACGCAGUGAGGUAGCUCAUCCCCGGUGAUGGUUGUCCGGGGCUAAGUGUGUGGACUGUCUGGUAGGUAAAUCCGCUGGGCGUGAAGGUUGAGGCAUGAUGGGGAGCCCACGGUUGUGGGUGAGUGAGUGAUCCUGUACUGUCGAGAAAAGCUUCGUGAGCGAGGUGGCGGGUCCGCCCGUACCCUAAACCGACACUGGUGGAUAGGUAGAGUAUACCGAGGCGAUCGAGUGAAUCGUGGUGAAGGAACUCGGCAAAAUGCCCCCGUAACUUUGGGAUAAGGGGGACCUGAGCUGUCGUGCACCCGUGCGGUGUGGUGGCGGUGAGGGGCGCAGAGUCCAGGGGGAAACGACUGUUUACCAAAAACACAGGUCCGUGCGAAGUCGUAAGACGAUGUAUACGGACUGACUCCUGCCCGGUGCUGGAAGGUUAAGGGGAACUGUGAGUGUAUGCGUAGCGGUGAACUUAAGCCCCAGUAAACGGCGGUGGUAACUAUAACCAUCCUAAGGUAGCGAAAUUCCUUGUCGGGUAAGUUCCGACCUGCACGAAUGGAGUAACGAUUUCCCUACUGUCUCCACCAUGAACUCGGUGAAAUUGCAUUACGAGUAAAGAUGCUCGUUACGCGCAGCAGGACGGAAAGACCCCGGGACCUUUACUAUAGUUUGGUAUUGGUGAUUGGGACGGUUUGUGUAGGAUAGGUGGGAGACGUUGAUGCGGCCACGCUAGUGGUGGUGGAGUCGUUGGUGAAAUACCACUCUGAUUGUUCUGGUUAUCUCACUGUGGACCGUGAUCCGGUUCAAGGACAGUGCCUGAUGGGUAGUUUGACUGGGGCGGUCGCCUCCUAAAGGGUAACGGAGGCGCCCAAAGGUUCCCUCAGCCUGGUUGGUAAUCAGGUGGUGAGUGUAAGUGCACAAGGGGGCUUGACUGUGAGACUGACAGGUCGAGCAGGGACGAAAGUCGGGACUAGUGAUCUGACGGUGGCUUGUGGAUGCGCCGUCACUCAACGGAUAAAAGGUACCCCGGGGAUAACAGGCUGAUCUUGCCCGAGCGCUCAUAGCGACGGCAUGGUUUGGCACCUCGAUGUCGGCUCGUCGCAUCCUGGGGCUGGAG